rnacentral:rRNA from 1 species
AAUGGCUGCAGUAAUUUGACUGUACAAAGGUAGCAUAAUCAUUAGUUUUUUAAUUAAAAGCUUGUAUGAAAGGUUGGACGAAAUAAAAUCUGUCUCUUUUUAAUAUAAUUAGAAUUUAAUUUUUAAGUUAAAAAGCUUAAAUAGAUUUAAAAGACGAGAAGACCCUAUAGAGUUUAAUAAUUUUUUUUUAUUAAUUAAUUUAGAUUUAUUUAUUUUAUUUUAAAAAAAUUAUUUUAUUGGGGUAAUAGAAAGAUUUAAAUAAUUCUUUUUUAAUUAAAUCAUUAAUUUAUGAAAAUUUAUGAUCCAUUGAAUUUUGAUUAUAAGAUUAAAUUACCUUAGGGAUAACAGCGUAAUUUUUUUUAAGAGUUCAUAUCGAUAAAAAAGUUUGCGACCUCGAUGUUGGAUUAAAGAUUAGUUUAGGUGUAGAAGUUUAAAUUUUUGGUCUGUUCGACCAUUGAAUCUUUACAUGAUCUGAGUUCAAACCGGUGUAAGCCAGGUUGGUUUCUAUCUUUAAAAAGAUUUGAUAUUUUAGUACGAAAGGACCAAAUAUUAUAUAUAUAAAUAUUUAAAUUAUUGAAUAUU